UUGCUUACAAUUUAGCAAUCUUUGUUUGUAUUGUAGAUUGCUGUAUUUUUAGUCGAUUAAAUGUUUAUAAAACCCAAACUCGAUCGGGGCUGCCCAGAGCGGGUGCCAGGCCCAUUCGGAGCCGGCGGCGAUCGGCGGUGUUUCUUUUCGGCCCGAGAGUCGGGUUGCUUGGGAACGCAGCCCAAAGCGGGUGGUAAGCUCCAUCCAAGGCUAAAUACGGGGACGAGUCCGAUAGCCGACAAGUACCGCGAGG
rnacentral:rRNA from 1 species